rnacentral:rRNA from 1 species
AGUGAACGCUGGCGGUAGGCCUAACACAUGCAAGUCGAACGGCAGCACAGAGGAGCUUGCUCCUUGGGUGGCGAGUGGCGGACGGGUGAGGAAUACAUCGGAAUCUACUCUGUCGGGGGGGAUAACGUAGGGAAACUUACGCUAAUACCGCAUACGACCUACGGGUGAAAGCAGGGGAUCUUCGUACCUUGCGCGAUUGAAUGAGCCGAUGUCGGAUUAGCUAGUUGGCGGGGUAAAGGCCCACCAAGGCGACGAUCCGUAGCUGGUCUGAGAGGAUGAUCAGCCACACUGGAACUGAGACACAGUCCAGACUCCUACGGGAGGCAGCAGUGGGGAAUAUUGGACAAUGGGCGCAAGCCUGAUCCAGCCAUACCGCGUGGGUGAAGAAGGCCUUCGGGUUGUAAAGCCCUUUUGUUGGGAAAGAAAUCCAUCUGGUUAAUACCCGGGUGGGAUGACGGUACCCAAAGAAUAAGCACCGGCUAACUUCGUGCCAGCCGCCGCCGUAA